UCAGAACCGUUCAGCGCCCGGCGCGCGCGGGAAAAGCCGGCGGUGGAGCCCGAGGGCUGCGCGCGCGCGGGCCGCAAGCACCCAAGGCUUGCCUCCGCUCCUCCUCCUCUUUCCCGCCCGAUCCGCGCUCUCCCCCACCUUCCCACCCUCCGCGCCGGCGCCCCACGAGGUGACAGCUCAAGGGCCUGUCGCCAGAACGCAUCUCCAGGCCCCCGCCCCCUCGCAACAUUUGUCACCUGACACAGUCGUAAGCAGGAACCACCGCCUUGCGGCGGCUCCCAGUCCUGCUCGCGCCCCGGUUCCCCUACCCGCCUUCUUUUAUCCCUCGCGCCACUGGCUAAGGCUCUUCCAUCUCUCCAAACCGGAUUAUUUAAAAGAGAAAAAGAAAGGAAAAGCAAGGUCAUCUCCGCGCCGCAUCAGCCAUUCAGGAGGCUGGAUGUUGGUUUUGAAAGAAAUGGCGCUAAGCUCCACUUCUACAUUUGGGAAACGAGCGAAAUUAAAGGAAACCGCUGCCUGCAGCCGAAGCGACAUCUGGACACUGAGUGGCGCUGGCGCCGUGGGAGCAAGCGGGCCGGGCGCCCCACCAGGAUCCUUGGUGGGGGAGAACCUGCUUUACACCUGGGCUCCACACCUCAACGAAGAGAGACACAGACUUUCCUUGGUUGGGAGGUCAUUCAGGGGGUGAUGAGUGUGACAUCUCUGCCUCGGAAGAACCCUAGGCAGGGUCUGAACCUUAUCUUUCUGUUUGCUCCUCUGCCUCUGGGAAUGAGUGGGGUGAGAGUUUGGGCAAUUUAUAGCAUUGAUCUACAGUGAUCUGUACUGAUCUAAAGCGCUGAUCUACACUGAUCUAGACUGAUCUCGUUGACUUCAAUGUGAAGGUACACAAUUGGAAGAGCUGUCCCGUGAGCAGCUGAGGCGAGGAGAAGCCAGAGGUAGAAUUGGGAAGGACUUGAAUGAGUGGCUGUCAUGAAAGGCAGUCUUCUGUAGAUUCCACGACAGAGACCUGGAGAGAAAAAUGGCCUGAACCAUCUGGACAACUGUCUUUUCCCCUACAAGGAAAGUUGGUGAUUUUGUUCUAAAAUAUCUAGAUCGUCUUUAUCACUUAACUUACUCAGGUGCUUGGUCAGUCCACGCUUCUCUUUUAUGCGUUGGAAAACAUUAAAAGAGUUGUAUGUACAUGCCCACACUUAAGUGUGUAUAUAGGAAUAUGCCUUCCAUAACCUUUAACUCAUCUGUCCUCUCCUAUGGCUUCAAAAGCAUGUGAGGUGGGUUUUAUCUCUGAUUUUAUAAUUAAAGGAAAAGGAAACACAGAAAGGCACUUGGGCUGAGCCAAAAAAGCCUUGCAGCAGAUUAAGGCUAGAGCUGGGGGCUUCGAGCCCUGGGCAGUUUUUCGUACUCCCUACCGCUCUGAUGACUGUGGAAGUGAACUGCACUAGAACUUGGCUGCCAAAGAAGGCCCAGUGGAGAGGUCACCAAAGGAAACAGCGUGGCUGACAUCCAAUUGAAAGUUAAAAUCCCACCAGGCAGUCUCUCCUUAGCUGACGACAGGAGUUGCUGUCAACAGUGCCGUCUAACCGCUUUGGGAGCCGCAGAGAUGCUCGUGUGAGCUCGGGGUGACCCGCGCAGGCUUCCCGAGGGAGCGCGGACUGCUCCGGCGGAUUCUGCCCUGGCUGUUCGCGGCGCAGGAAUGGGCUGUAGUCAGACGAUCAGGGGCGGUAACCUUUUCUAAUAACCACCCCAGGCUUUGGCACCUAACGCUCUGGCACUGUCUAGGGAAGCUCUUUAUGCUCCUUGGCGCUGCUCGUCAAGACAAGUCGCUUGUCUCAUUUUGCCGGGACAUCAGACACGGCCCAUCGGAUCGCUCAGCCCCGUGGGACCCAGCGCGUGCCCCGCAGAGCGCUCCGAGAGGGGUCUGACUGCCUCCGACACAGUCCGAAGACAGCGACCCCGGUUCGUACGGCUUUCCCGUCCGUGGUUCCCUGUUGUCUGAAAUCAGGAUGUGGUCCCGGAUUAAUGACAUCAGGAAACACUUUGACGCCUGUAUUGCCUGCUCGGUUUUCUUGAACCUCACAUGCACUGGCUUCAUCCUGUCCGGACCCCAGAGCCCCGCGCGCACCUCUCCGCUUCCUGCGCAGGCCUUCCUCUGGUUUGUGGGCUGCGGGCUGCGCGCUGCGGCUCGGUCCUUCGAGGCGCUCUCUGAGCCCCUGUUCCGAGUUUUUGUGGGUGGCUUCAUCCAGCCCCGGGCUCAGGUCCCUUUUCCCAGUUCUAAAACCUGAAAUAGCUCUCUUGCUGUUGGUCCGUAGCAUUCCCUUUCAACUCUACCCCCUCCCCGCCCUCACAGUGGGUAAGCAGGAACUAGGCUCCUUUCCCAAACCUUGAUUUUAGAAUACCUACAUUUCUGCAGAAUGAUGUUUAGAAGACUAACCGAAGUAUGUUCAAAUUGAAUGCAUUUGAUGACUUCAUAAAGAUUCCUUGCCAGCCUCCUGCUGGCACUCUGGAGGGCUAAGGAGUCCUGAAGACUGGGUCUUCAGAAGGGAAGUAUGAAAGCCUCCAUAGCUACCUUCCAGAUGACUUCUUUCUAACACACUCAUCCUCCCCCGUAUCAGAGAAUUCAAGUACAUGCUGAUGUUGGAAGGAAGAACACUCAAGAAUUGUUGCCCGACUUAUAACCCAAGGCUUAAAUUGGUCUGAAAGAGGCACCGUUGGAGCGUUCUGUGCUCGUCACUACAUCUCUGAGGCGGUGCUGAAGGAAUAGCCACAGAAGGCAGGAGACAUGAAGAAGUCCCAGUGUGUCUGGCUUUGUGCACACAAAUGGAGCCAGCCCUGUGUGUGUGUGAAGGGACUGGGCCUUCCCCAAGCUGUUGGUCAUGAUGCAAGAACAGUUUUUGCCCUCUCUGGAUCCUUGUGGUAAAAUGGCUGCCAAGAUACUUUAGAACAGAACUUGAAUAGUAUGUACCGACCACUGGAACACGGUAACAAGAGUCCUUUGGUAUUUUUGUGUUGGCUGUGAUGAAGCUGGCACCCGUGUCCCCUUAGGUGAGGAUUCUGAGGUAACAGUGGCUGAUGCAAGAUUGUGACCCCGCUACUUCUAUUCAGAAUACGCUGUGGUGGCGGUGGUGGGGUGCUCUGUGGAUUGGGAAUCCUGCAGGAACAGCAGUUUACAGAUGAGUUCCAGGGGAACCCGUAAGGGAGAAAAAGAAACCAAACACAACGGGGAAUGUUUAACAAUUGAAACCAGUCUUUGCUUGUGUGGUCCUGUGUUUCACCACAUCACUGUGAAAACGGACUGCCGGGGGGAAGACUGAAGUGCUGAUCAUUUAUGAAGCCAAAAACCUGUUGACGGCUCUUUUUAAGGUAUAGGAGAAAAUGGCAAAACUCUCAAAACUCCAGGGAAGUUACUUCAUCGCUCUGAUUACCGCAGGUCACCAGGCUUUUGGGUCACGGGAUCACGCUGGCAUGAUGACCAAAAUAGGAGGGCAGGCUGAGCCAGACUCAGAAACAAUUCCAAAAUGCUCUAGGACUUUCCA